rnacentral:rRNA from 1 species
GUCGAGCGGAGAUGAGGUGCUUGCACCUUAUCUUAGCGGCGGACGGGUGAGUAAUGCUUAGGGAUCUGCCUAUUAGUGGGGGACAACAUUCCGAAAGGGAUGCUAAUACCGCAUACGUCCUACGGGAGAAAGCAGGGGAUCUUCGGACCUUGCGCUAAUAGAUGAGCCUAAGUCGGAUUAGCUAGUUGGUGGGGUAAAGGCCUACCAAGGCGACGAUCUGUAGCGGGUCUGAGAGGAUGAUCCGCCACACUGGGACUGAGACACGGCCCAGACUCCUACGGGAGGCAGCAGAGGGGAAUAUUGGACAAUGGGGGGAACCCUGAUCCAGCCAUGCCGCGUGUGUGAAGAAGGCCUUAUGGUUGUAAAGCACUUUAAGCGAGGAGGAGGCUACUGAGACUAAUACUCUUGGAUAGUGGUCGUUACUCGCAGAAUAAGCACCGGCUAACUCUGUGCCAGCAGCCGCGGUAAUACAGAGGGUGCGAGCGUUAAUCGGAUUUACUGGGCGUAAAGCGUGCGUAGGCGGCUUUUUAAGUCGGAUGUGAAAUCCCCGAGCUUAACUUGGGAAUUGCAUUCGAUACUGGGAAGCUAGAGUAUGGGAGAGGAUGGUAGAAUUCCAGGUGUAGCGGUGAAAUGCGUAGAGAUCUGGAGGAAUACCGAUGGCGAAGGCAGCCAUCUGGCCUAAUACUGACGCUGAGGUACGAAAGCAUGGGGAGCAAACAGGAUUAGAUACCCUGGUAGUCCAUGCCGUAAACGAUGUCUACUAGCCGUUGGGGCCUUUGAGGCUUUAGUGGCGCAGCUAACGCGAUAAGUAGACCGCCUGGGGAGUACGGUCGCAAGACUAAAACUCAAAUGAAUUGACGGGGGCCCGCACAAGCGGUGGAGCAUGUGGUUUAAUUCGAUGCAACGCGAAGAACCUUACCUGGCCUUGACACACUAGAAACUUUCCAGAGAUGGAUUGGUGCCUUCGGGAAUCUAGAUACAGGUGCUGCAUGGCUGUCGUCAGCUCGUG